rnacentral:rRNA from 1 species
GACGAACGCUGGCGGCGUGCUUAACACAUGCAAGUCGAACGGAAAGGCCCUGCUUUUGUGGGGUGCUCGAGUGGCGAACGGGUGAGUAACACGUGAGUAACCUGCCCUUGACUUUGGGAUAACUUCAGGAAACUGGGGCUAAUACCGGAUAGGAGCUCCUGCUGCAUGGUGGGGGUUGGAAAGUUUCGGCGGUUGGGGAUGGACUCGCGGCUUAUCAGCUUGUUGGUGGGGUAGUGGCUUACCAAGGCUUUGACGGGUAGCCGGCCUGAGAGGGUGACCGGCCACAUUGGGACGGAGGUACGGCCCAGACCCCGAGGGGGGGCAGGGGGGGGGAAUAUUGCAAAAGGGGCGGAAGCCUGAGGCAGCAACCCCGGGGGGGGGAUGGCGGCCUUCGGGUUGUAACCCGCUUUCGCCUGGGACGAAGCGGGGGUGACGGUAAUGGGAAAAGAAGCACCGGCUAACUACGU